rnacentral:rRNA from 1 species
AAAUAGCCGCAGUAUAUUGACUGUGCGAAGGUAGCAUAAUCAUCUGUCUUUUAAUUGGAGGCUGGAAUGAAUGGUUGGAUGAGGGAAUAGCUUUCUUUAUAUUAAUAAUUAAAUUUAAUUUUUAGGUUAAAAAGCUUAAAUUUUAAAGGGGGACGAGAAGACCCUAUAGAAUUUUAUUUUCAAUUAAUUAUUUUAUUUUGUUAAUUAAAAUCUUAAUUUGUUAAUUUUGUUGGGGUGACGUUGAGAUUUUUUUAACUCUCAUAUUUUUUACUUAUUUAUUUAUAUAUAUAUAAUCCUUUAUUAUGGAAUUUAGAUUAAAUUACCUUAGGGAUAACAGCGUAAUUCUUUUGGAGAGUUCUUAUCGAUAGAAAAGUUUGCGAGCUCGAUGUUGGAUUAAAAUUAAAUUUAA